ACAGUUAAUAACCAUUCAAGCGUUUAUCCCGAAACACUUCCUUCCUCGCCGAAUCAGCAAGACAUUCACAGACUCAUGUUGACUCUGUAAACCAAAUCGGUAACUCCGCAUCCAUAUGAACGACGAAAGACGGUUGUUUCCUAGCACUACGUGCCAAGCUAUCCGCCCUUUGGUUCUCCGUUCGGGGUACAUGGAUGAUGUCUGAGUUGAGGAAACUUCUUCGUAAAAGCUUGAUAUCUUCCAGGUAGCUUCCAGGUGGAUUCAUUGUUGGGAAACCCGCAACUUCCAAAAGCCAAACUUAUUCAUGGGAAUUGAAUUGCUUUUCAUAGACUCAAAGGUAUUCUUACAAAUUUAAAUUAAUCUAAUCUAUAAUUUUAUUGUUAAUAUUCAUACUAACUCUUUCAUGAUCAAACCAUUUCAGUUGAUAACCAUUCAAGCUUUUAUCUCGAAACACUUCCUUCCUCGCCGAAUCAGGUAUUGGUUCAUGUUGGUUUAGUAUUGUUUUUGGUUUACUAACCGGUUUAGGAUGGUCUUAUUGUAAAUAUAAUUUAAGUUGGUUUAGCAUAUAUUAUGUUUAAAAUAACUUAAAUUAAAUAAUAAUAAUAUUAUGCUUUAAAUAUAAUUUUAGAGAGUUUUCAAAUAUAGUUUACAGAACAUUAUA